GGGAGGGUGUCCUCCCUUGGGGCGUCUCUCUGUGCUCGGGCCGCGCUCCUCAGGGCGUCGGAGGCCGGGGAGAAACGUUCCCCUCCUUUUCUUGCUUCUCAGAAUCACAGAGUCGCAGGGGUUGGAAGGGACCUCAGGAGAUGAUCGAGUCCAACCUCUCUGCUAAUCAAAUACCCAGGUAUUCACACAGAUGUCAAGCACUACGCUGAUGUUCCCGUGGAACUGCUUUCAAAAUUCCAGCACUCUCCCAAUAAGCACUGACCAGAUGACCUGCAUAUUCAUUUGUAAAGAAAACAUUGUGAGCUACCUAAUUACUGGAGUUCAUUUGGGUCAAGAUAGAUGAAAGACUCCAGCCCACUUGAACCCUCUUCUGAAGAACCUCUACUGAAGGAACACAAAAGUACUCUCUAUCCUCCCUGGCCUUAGAAUACAUUGUAAGCUUUAAGAUCCAGCUCAGCAAGUAAAGUGCUCUUUUGAGACAUGGAAGAUGUGGAAGACACCAAGGAGGCAUCAAGCCAUAUCAAGCUGGCUUGGUAUGUAAGGGUGGUGAGCCCCAGGCUCCCAUCUAUUUGGUCUGCUAUAACCACUAAGAUGCUAGUAGUUGCAGUUCUGUUCUGCUUGUGAUGAUUAGAUGAAGUCCUCCACCAUUUUCUCUCUGUUAAUAGGAGAAUUAUAAAGAUUAGGGAAAUAAAGAUAAAUAACAUACAUGUCUCAGGAGAAGUUGCCUGACUGAGACUAACAGCACUGUAGGGAUUGCUGGUUAUGUUUCUUCUUAGAGGACAUGUUCUGUUUACUUGCCAGAUGAGCAGAAGACUUGAUAAACUUAUGCUGCCUGUACCAUAUUCUGAAUGCCUUUCCCAUCCACUGAAAAAAAAAAAAAUACUGGAAAAAAUACUGGAUAUAGCAGUUACAGCCUCUGUGCUGAAGGAGUCAAUGAUAAAGCUAUAUUGUCCUUAAUGGAAGCUAGAAAUGAUCCAAUGUUUCAGUCUGUGAGGUUUAUUAUCACUUUGUCUUCCCUAUUCAUCGUGAUCAGCAGCCAAGCAACAACAUUUCUUCAAAGUUUGGAAGUUAAACUGAAAUGUUUAGGGCUGCCAACACAUACAGAACAUAAUAUAUAUGUGAGAUAUGUAAUAAAUAUGGAAUAUAUGAACAGUUCAUAUGUAGAUCUGUCACUUCAGACUUAAGUCUGUAUAAUUAGACUUUUUGAAAGAGUUUCUUUACAUUUGCAAUGCUGCACAUUCUGCCGUUGAUCCUGUUGAAUCCUGUUGACAAAGCAAUAUCAUUAUCAAGUUAAAACAGUCAACAAGUGGAUUUAACACAAGUAGGUGUUUCCACCAUAGUUGGGAAAUGAAAAAUAUUGCUAAUGUAACCAAAUUAACAAAAUGUACUGUUUAAAAAACUGCAUGUAAAAAUUAUUGUGGUAUUAUUGACAUUUAAAAAAAAAAAAGCUUGACUUUUGCAACCCAUCAUUUUCAAAUCAACAGUUAAUUCCUUAAUUCAACAAUUCUUAGUAAUGGAGCAAAGCAGUAGUGAGUACAGGAUUCAUACAUGAACUUCAGAAAGUCAGCAUUUCAUUUAGUGGUUAACUUCAGAAUCUCUUCUAUUGCAAAGACUCUCUGUUAAAAAAAUAAAAAAUAAUAAAAAAGAGAAUUAAAAAUGACCUUUUUAAGUAUUCCACAAAUUAAUUUUGGUUGAGGUUUAAGGGAAAAGCAGCAUAGGUUGUUGAAUGAAGAGAAGAUGUUUAAAUAAAAAAGUUGAGAAAUAAAAUAUCUAAUGGCCUGUUCACUGAGUAUGCAUACUGUCGUGCCUUUCUGAAGCAGCCAAGGUGCGCACUGAAAACUGGGGAGAGUACAAAGCUCUUGAGCACAGUUUUCUGAAUUCUCUGCUCAAUUUCACUAGCAACUCACUAUCUGUCUCAGCCCACCUGACCUCUGAUACUCUACUUCUUUUUCUGUAGCUUCUGGGGAAAAAAAUAAAUAAAUA